rnacentral:rRNA from 1 species
GCUUAAAACUCAAAGGACUUGACGGUGUCCCAAACCAACCUAGAGGAGCCUGUCCUAUAAUCGAUACCCCACGCUACACCUUACCCCCCCUUGAAACCAGUCUGUAUACCGCCGUCUACCAGUUCGCCUUAUGACAGACCCCAUAGCGAACAAACCAGCCUGCCACUUAUACGAUAGGUCAAGGUGCAGCCAAUGGGGGGGCAGAGAUGGGCUACAUUUUCUGCUUUACCAGAAAACCACCACCCGCCAAAUGAAACAUAGGCCCAAAGGCGGAUCUAGCAGUAAGCCAGACA